AUGUGAGACGCAAGAAUUAAAGAUUUAUUUUUACACCAAGAGAGUGCCGACGGGUGAGUACACGUGGGCACCUGCCUUUAGAGGGGGAAAACAUUCGGAAACGAUGUAAUCCCGCAUAGUUUCAGGAAUCGCAUGAUUCUGAAGGAAAGGUGGCUUCGGCUACCACUAAUGGAUGGACCCGCGGCGUAUUAGCUAGUUGGUGAGGUAAUGGCUCACCAAGGCAAUGAUACGUAGCCGACCUGAGAGGGUGAUCGGCCACACUGGGACUGAGACACGGCCCAGACUCCUACGGGAGGCAGCAGUAGGGAAUCUUCCGCAAUGGACGAAAGUCUGACGGAGCAACGCCGCGUGAGUGAAGAAGGUUUUCGGAUCGUAAAACUCUGUUGUUAAAGAAGAACAAGGAUGAGAGUAACUGCUCAUCCCCUGACGGUAUUUAACCAGAAAGCCACGGCUAACUACGUGCCAGCAGCCGCGGUAAUACGUAGGUGGCAAGCGUUGUCCGGAUUUAUUGGGCGUAAAGCGAGCGCAGGCGGUUCUUUAAGUCUGAUGUGAAAGCCCCCGGCUCAACCGGGGAGGGUCAUUGGAAACUGGAGAACUUGAGUGCAGAAGAGGAGAGUGGGAUUCCACGUGUAGCGGUGAAAUGCGUAGAUAUGUGGAGGAACACCAGUGGCGAAGGCGACUCUCUGGUCUGUAACUGACGCUGAGGCUCGAAAGCGUGGGGAGCAAACAGG
rnacentral:rRNA from 1 species